GACGAACGCUGGCGGCGUGCUUAACACAUGCAAGUCGAACGGAAAGGCCUCUUUCGUGGGGUACUCGAGUGGCGAACGGGUGAGUAACACGUGAGUAACCUGCCCUUGACUUUGGGAUAACUUCAGGAAACUGGGGCUAAUACCUGAUAGGAGCUCCUGCUGCAUGGUGGGUGUUGUAAAGUUUCGGCGGUUGGGGAUGGACUCGCGGCUUAUCCGCUUGUUGGUGGGGUAGUGGCUUACCAAGGCUUUGACGGGUAGCCGGCCUGAGAGGGUGACCGGCCACAUUGGGACUGAGAGACGGCCCAGACACCGACGGGAGGCAGCAGUGGGGAAUAUUGCACAAUGGGUGGAAGCCUGAUGCAGCAACGCCGGGUGCGGGAUGACGGCCUUCGGGUUGUAAACCGCUUUCGCUCAUGACGAAGCUUUGUGUGACGGUAGUGGGUAAAGAAGCACCGGCUAACUACGUG
rnacentral:rRNA from 1 species